AACGCACAUUGCGCCCCUUGGUAUUCCGGGGGGCAUGCCUGUUCGAGCGUCAUUAUAACCCCUCAAGCUCAGCUUGGUGUUGGGGCCUGCCUACUGGCAGCCCUUAAAAUCAGUGGCGGCGCCAUCUGGCUCUAAGCGUAGUAAUUUCUCUCGCUAUAGGGUCCCGGUGGACGUUUGCCAACAACCCCUAACUUUCUAUGGUUGACCUCGGAUCAGGUAGGGAUACCCGCUGAACUUAA
rnacentral:misc_RNA from 1 species